rnacentral:lncRNA from 1 species
AUCUGAUUGUUAUUUCAACCAUAAAAUAUUUCGAAUAAAAAGUGGAAAUUUGAGAAUAACGUCAAUUUCUCAUCUUCCCUGUUUUCAUUGUACAAAUCGAAUCAAGACAAUAAAUACAAAUUUUAAAAAAAGAAAAAAGCCAGCAAGUUAAUCUAUUCAAAUUUAUCUUCAUCAUAUUCAAUACAGGUGUUCGUGCUAUGAAGAAUUCUUCUUCGGAGGAGCUAGACAGUUACUAUCCUGUUAGGCCUGAAUGCCUAGCUGAUGUUCCCAAGACCAGAUUCAAAGCAAGGGUGUGUUGAAAAAAUAUCACCUUUUUUCCCUUUUCUAUGCUACUUUACUAUAUCUGAUUCUGUUCUUUGUUGUUCUUAUUCAUUUGGUGUGUUAUCUUCAUAUUGACAGAGUUAAAUGUGUCUUUUUUCCUUUUCAUUGAUUCUUUGACAUUAAUGUCUCUCGUCUGGUUUAGAAACUUAUGCCAUUUCUGUCUUUUCUAGAAAAUCAUUUUCCAUCCUUUGAUGGUGUCUUUUUCCUUUUCCUUGAUUCUUUGACAUUGAUUUCUCUCAUCUGGUUUAGAAACUUAUGCCGGUUUUGUCUUUUCUAGAAGAUCAUUGUCCAUGCUUUGAUGGUGUAGUUGUUGGGGAGAUUUGCACAUAUAGAAUCGUCUAAGACAGUUACUUAACUCUGGCUUUUAAGUUUUGCAAGAUUAUUUGGUAGGGCAUAACGUUGUACAUGCACCCGGACAAAACAUGUUAUGCCCUACCCAAAGUUAUGCCGCGUGGUGUUAUAUCUGCAGAAAAUUUUAAAAUGGGGACAAAAGGUAAUACCAGGCUUCAAAAGAAACACUGGGUGGAAAUUCUUGUAGUUGUUUUAUUUGGUCCGUUGGUGGUUGCUAAAUGCAAAUAUGUUUAAUCAAUCAAUUAGGUAUAUAGUUGAAUGAUGGCAAAAGCCAGAGUUUUUUUGUUGACAUUUGUCUUAUUCCUUUUGAAGAAAUAAGUGUUAUUAUUAGCUAGCUGUUUGUGAUAUCUUCAAGGAUUACAGAUGCUUAUGACACAACUAAGUCCAACUGUGCCUUUUUUACACUGUUUGGACAGGUAGGAAAAACUCUUAGUGAAAGAAGAUGGAAAGCUGCAUUCUCUAAAGAAGGUUAUUUGGAUAUAGCUGGUGUUCUUCGACGAAUACAACGAGGGGUAUACCUUUUUUGCCAUUAUUCCUGUAUUGUAUACCACAUUCUCAUUUUCCUUUGGAUGCGUGUAAUGAGUCAAAUGUAUUGCUUUACUGGUUCUUGUAUUUAAAUAAUUAAGAGCAGGUAUGGAAGAUGAGAAUUGGAUCUUUCAAAUAAGCAAUUUUUGUAUAACAACUUAAUUUUAAAUCGCGUAUGCUCUGCAACAGAGACAAGCAAGUGACUGAAAGCUGACUUCAACUUGCAAUUAUUAUCUUACUCCUAUAAAACAGUUCGGGUUCAUAUUCGGAGACAGCUUGUAGUUUCCUCAUGAAGUACUGAAGUUUUUAUGUAUUGUAAUUGUGUUUAAUGUUUGAUUUCUUUGGAAGAUUCUACUUGAGGUAGAUUGAUGUUUUGGAAAUUCUGAAUAGUCAUACUGAAGGGUUUAGCUGUUGUGGAAGCUGGAAAGGUUGAAGAUCUCUCCUUCCUAAAGUUGCACAAGGCGGCCCCCCAGACAAAACCCACCCCUCUUUUCCCCCUUUAAUAAAGGACCCUCACCUCGCUUCCUAUUCAUUUGUGGGUCUGGACCCAAUUUUUUUCUUUUCAAUUUCUAGAAUCAACCAACGGAAAAAUCCGUAGCCCAGGUGACUCACAGCCUCCCUCUCGCCCAAAUAAAUGAAAUGGGAUGAAUCAAAUCAAUAAGCUUUUUGAUUGAUUCAGGGCGUAGC